ACAAUGGGCGCAAGCCUGAUGGAGCAACACCGCGUGAGUGAAGAAGGGUUUCGGCUCGUAAAGCUCUGUUGUUAAAGAAGAACACGUAUGAGAGUAACUGUUCAUACGUUGACGGUAUUUAACCAGAAAGUCACGGCUAACUACGUGCCAGCAGCCGCGGUAAUACGUAGGUGGCAAGCGUUAUCCGGAUUUAUUGGGCGUAAAGAGAGUGCAGGCGGUUUUCUAAGUCUGAUGUGAAAGCCUCCGGCUUAACCGGAGAAGUGCAUCGGAAACUGGAUAACUUGAGUGCAGAAGAGGGUAGUGGAACUCCAUGUGUAGCGGUGGAAUGCGUAGAUAUAUGGAAGAACACCAGUGGCGAAGGCGGCUACCUGGUCUGCAACUGACGCUGAGACUCGAAAGCAUGGGUAGCGAACAGGAUUAGAUACCCUGGUAG
rnacentral:rRNA from 1 species